CGCGAAGAACCUUACCAGGCCUUGACAUGGCUAGUAUGGGGCUAAGAGAUUAGCUCCUUCAGUUCGGCUGGCUAGCACACAGGUGCUGCAUGGCUGUCGUCAGCUCGUGUCGUGAGAUGUUGGGUUAAGUCCCGCAACGAGCGCAACCCUUAUCGAUAGUUGCUACCAGGUUAUGCUGGGCACUCUAUUGAAACUGCCGGUGACAAGCCGGAGGAAGGCGGGGAUGACGUCAAGUCCUCAUGGCCCUUACGGCCUGGGCUACACACGUACUACAAUGGUGGUGACAGUGGGAUGCGAAGGCGCAAGCUGGAGCGAACCCCCAAAAGCCACCUCAGUUCAGAUUGCACUCUGCAACUCGAGUGCAUGAAGUUGGAAUCGCUAGUAAUCGUAGAUCAGCACGCUACGGUGAAUACGUUCCCGGGCCUUGUACACACCG
rnacentral:rRNA from 1 species